rnacentral:lncRNA from 1 species
UAGCUGUGAUGAGUAGUUUCCAUCUUUUAAUUUCCCUUAUCAAGUUAAAUGAGCUAACCCAGUCCCAUUUAUUCUCUUCCUCAGACUUUUUCAGUUCUCAUCAAGGUUGUGGGACGUGUGGUUGCAAUGCGACUUCAUGAAACACAGCAUCUCAAAUCGACCUGCAUAGAUGGACUGAUCGGGAUUUCAGGAGAAAAGGACAGGGAAGAGGAACUCUGUACCCUAGGCUUGAAGGCACUGAAGAAGCUUUUCUUUCCACAUUUUUAACUGAUGGUGUCACGUCCGACCAAGGUGGUGUUUUGUGGACCACACCAAGAGAAUGAAC